AUAGACUUCGGCAGCUCUUAGCCGAGGGAGUCGAAGUCAAUGCUUCCACCAGCGACGGAUGGACUGCUCUCCACCAUGCAUCAUGGAACGGCCACACAAGAGCUGUAAAAGCUUUACUCAGAGCUGGAGCGACUGUUGACUCAAGAAGCUCCGCGAGAUGGACCCCUCUACACCGUGCAGCAAACGGCGGACACACAGGAACGGUAAAGGCUUUACUGGCAGCUGGAGCGGACAGUAAUGCACGAGACAACGAGG